AACGAACGCUGGCGGCAUGCCUAACACAUGCAAGUCGAACGAGACCUUCGGGUCUAGUGGCGCACGGGUGCGUAACGCGUGGGAACCUGCCCUUAGGUUCGGAAUAACUCCCCGAAAGGGGUGCUAAUACCGGAUAAUGUCUUCGGACCAAAGAUUUAUCGCCUUUGGAUGGGCCCGCGUUGGAUUAGCUAGUUGGUAGGGUAAAAGCCUACCAAGGCGACGAUCCAUAGCUGGUCUGAGAGGAUGAUCAGCCACACUGGGGCUGAGACACGGCCCAGACUCCUACGGGAGGCAGCAGUGGGGAAUAUUGGAAAAUGGGCGAAAGCCUGAUCCAGCAAUGCCGCGUGAGUGAUGAAGGCCUUAGGGUUGUAAAGCUCUUUUACCCGGGAUGAUAAUGACAGUACCGGGAGAAUAAGCUCCGGCUAACUCCGUG
rnacentral:rRNA from 1 species